rnacentral:lncRNA from 1 species
CAUACUAUUACAGGACAACAUUUAUCACCUGGAUUUUCCUUUAUUGGAUAUUUCCUCGCUACCUCACCGUGGAAACACAUUUUGCGCAGAGAGUUCUCAGUCUGAGUUCCUGCCCACCGAGAUUAUAUAUUCGAGGAGUUCUAUGCUUCUAAGGCACCGCUUAUGAAUUAGUGGUCUACUGCUCGUUGCGCCCUUUUAAAGUGACGUGUAAUAUCUUCCUCCCAUUUUCACCAUUGAUAAUCGCUAUAUCGACCUUUUUUCUGUGUGUGGUUUUUUAAAAUGCCAAUAUAUAUUGAGUAUUGUAUCCAUCAGUAAUGGUUGAGUCUCUUGAAUGUGUCUAUGCGAAGAGAGCAUUCUAUCAUCAGCUUCAAAAUGUGUAAAAAUCAGGACGAUCCGAUCAUUGUUAAAUGACAGUGACUGAAAGUGAUAAUUGUUAACGUCGGAGAAAAGGUCAGUGGUUCUACCUGUUGGAAGAGGUGGUUUAAGUUUGCGAAAUGCGAUUCUUGGCUCGAAGGCUCAUAGAAAACCUCUACUCCAUUAGUUUAAAUUGUCGAUUUGUUUGAUCUGCGAAUUUCUCUUAUCAUCGAGAAGAAGAGUUAAAUAGUGAUGGAGGACUGUUUAAGAUGAGAUCGAAGUCAAUCGCUCGCCGUCUUACCCCAGGUAGCAUUGACGAGAAUGGCGUAGACAAAAGUGGUGGUGAGGAAGAUGACUCGAUGGAGGAAGAAGCAGAGGUGUCCAGUGAAACCUCAUUCAAAGAUAAAUUCAACUAUUUCGACUCGCAAAUUCCCGCGGAGCUAGAACUGAGGAACGGCGGCGCCGGCGGCAUUUGGACCAAAGAGAGGCUCCACAGAGGCAUCCGCUACGGACCGUACCCGGGAAUUUUGAGAGAAAGGCCCCUGGAACCAAAUAUGCGUGGGAGGUAAGUCAGUUUAUCACUAUUAGGUAUGCUUCCUAUCAAAGUC